UCAGAUAGAAAGGUGUGUUCUGCUCUCAUGAUUUGGUGCUCACUGGUGUAAAAGAGAAAUAUGUUCAAUAAACUGACGUAGUAAAUGGUUUUGUCAUGUUGUGCCUAUACUGGUGAGGCAGAUGGACAGUAAGGCACAAUGGCAGCCCCUCAACCGUCAGGUGCCCAUAGCCAGGUCCAGAUAACGCACCCCACUCCUUGCCUCCAGACAGGUCUGGGGACACAGGAACUCCCUCGGACAAGCACAUGGAACUUAUGCAGCCUGGUCUGGUGUUGGUGGGGGCGUUGGAGGCCACUGAAGCCCUGCCUUGCUGCCAUGCUUGGUCCCGACUACCUGUUCCUCAGGCCACAGAUGGCUGUUUCCCCUUGGCAUGACCCCACUGAGAGAAGAGGCAGAUAUCAGGGCACCAGCACAUCUUCUCUCUUGAAAAACAGCAAACGCUGGAGCUCCAGAUGCUGAUUUGCUUCCCCAAUGUUAGAUACCAAGGAUGAAUCACCCAUAGGUACCAGCUUCUCUGCACUGACUUGUAAAAGGUGUCUUCAGCAACAAACCAAGUUGGAGGGCUAACCUUGGGCUGCCUAGAUGGAGGUGAGUAUGUUAAAUUGAAGACAGAAAGAUCUUCGGGGCAGAUUUACUGAAUAAGUUUUCAGAAAGGACCCUCUGAGAGAAAUUUUUCACCAAAAUGUUUCAAACAUGGACAACGUGCAUUAUUCUCAUGUGCUGUUCAUGCAAAGAGUCUGUGCUCCUCUUGCUUUAUUCAUGCAAUAAAUGCAUUUCUUCAGGAGAAAUAGUAAAAGUUUUUAUUUUCUAACAGAGCUUUAUUUUGAACUCACAAUUUCUUUGAGAAAUGUGGUCAAUUUGAAAAAG